rnacentral:rRNA from 1 species
GGGGAAUAUUGCACAAUGGGGGAAACCCUGAUGCAGCGACGCCGCGUGAGUGAUGAAGUAUUUCGGUAUGUAAAGCUCUAUCAGCAGGGAAGAUAAUGACGGUACCUGACUAAGAAGCACCGGCUAAAUACGUGCCAGCAGCCGCGGUAAUACGUAUGGUGCAAGCGUUAUCCGGAUUUACUGGGUGUAAAGGGUGCGUAGGUGGUGAGACAAGUCUGAAGUGAAAAUCCGGGGCUUAACCCCGGAACUGCUUUGGAAACUGCCUGACUAGAGUACAGGAGAGGUAAGUGGAAUUCCUAGUGUAGCGGUGAAAUGCGUAGAUAUUAGGAGGAACACCAGUGGCGAAGGCGACUUACUGGACUGCUACUGACACUGAGGCACGAAAGCGUGGGGAGCAAAC